GAAAAACAUGAGAUUUUACUGGACAAGAGUUUAUGCUCCUUUAACCUGCUCAUAUGUAAGACAGCAAGAAGGACAUGUGGAUUCCAAGGAUCAGUGAGAGAUAAUUCUAAUUAACAUAGAUUUCAAGCACAUUUUGUAGGCUGAAAUGAACUCUGGCAUUGUGGGGAGCUUUGAGGAGCACUAAUAAGACUAAACUAAAUCAUUAUCCAUGUAAAUGAGGUAAUUUAUCUGAAAACACUGUACAAACAUGAGCACAUGCCCAAUUGUAAGGGACUGAACCAAGACAAAGUGAGGUUCAAAUCUCGACUUGUGCCAACCUGUGGUGAUAAACUAACCACAGUGUUAGAGAUUAAGACACAAGGACCAUAAACCUUCUUCUUACAUAA
rnacentral:lncRNA from 1 species